UACGUAGGUGACCAGCGUUGUCCGGAUUUACUGGGCGUAAAGAGCGCGCAGGCGGUCGUUCAAGUCGAGUGUGAAAGCCCCCGGCUCAACUGGGGAGGGUCAUUCGAUACUGAUCGACUCGAAGGCAGGAGAGGGAAGCGGAAUUCCCGGUGUAGUGGUGAAAUGCGUAGAUAUCGGGAGGAACACCAGUGGCGAAGGCGGCUUCCUGGCCUGUUCUUGACGCUGAGGCGCGAAAGUUAGGGGAGCAAACGGG
rnacentral:rRNA from 1 species